ACACUGAUGGUGAAGUGGUUAUCAUGCUUGCCUUCCACUUAAGAACAGAAGUCUGGCUUAUGUAAGCAAGCGGCGGGGGUUCGAUUCCCUCUCAGUGUA